rnacentral:rRNA from 1 species
ACGCAAUAGAUACCCGGGUAGUCCUGGCAGUAAACGGUGCACGUUUGGUGUGGGAGGAUUCGACCCCUUCUGUGCCGGAGCUAAACGCGUUAAACGUGCCGCCUGGGGAGUACGGUCGCAAGAUUAAAACUCAAAGAAAUUGACGGGGGCCCGCACAAGCGGUGGAGUAUGUGGCUUAAUUCGAUGCAACGCGAAGAACCUUACCUAGCCUUGACAUGCAUCUCUAAGUCGGUGAAAGCCGGCGACCAUAGCAAUAUGGAAUUUGCACAGGUGCUGCAUGGCUGUCGUCAGCUCGUGUCGUGAGAUGUUGGGUUAAGUCCCGCAACGAGCGCAACCCUGUGAACUGUUGCCACUAGCAUCUGCUAAGCACUCUGUUCAGACU